UGUCCAUCAAAUUCAUAUAAAUUUGAAGAUAGCACAAGCAUGUACCUUUAGACACUUUUGAAAGAUACAAGGAGAAGCACAUACGCGAUUCUCAUCCAACCAAUUUCAUUGGAGGCUCCAACCAAAGCACGACUUGGACUUGUAAUGUUAUGGGGAAAGUAAAGCUUCUAAGUGUCAAGUUAUUUCUAAAUCGACAACUACUUACGCGGUACUAGAGAGCUUAGUUCAUUUUAGUACGUUUAUUUUAAAUGUAUUCAUAUUGUAAUUUCAAUACUAUUUAAGUAUAUAGUUGUUGUAUUUUAAAUUAUUGUACAUAUAAUUGUAUUAUUCUAGUGGAUGUACAAUUUCUAUUUUGCUUUA